UACAGAGGUCUCAAGCGUUGUUCGGAUUCAUUGGGCGUAAAGGGUGCGUAGGCGGCGCGGUAAGUCGGAUGUGAAAUCUCGGAGCUUAACUUCGAAACUGCAUUCGAUACUGCCGUGCUUGAGGACUGGAGAGGAGACUGGAAUUUACGGUGUAGCGGUGAAAUGCGUAGAUAUCGUAAGGAAGACCAGUGGCGGAAGGCGGGUCUCUGGACAGUUCCUGACGCUGAGGCACGAAAGGUCAGGGGAGCAAACGGG
rnacentral:rRNA from 1 species